GAUGAAGAACGUAGCGAAAUGCGAUAAGUAAUGUGAAUUGCAGAAUUCAGUGAAUCAUCGAAUCUUUGAACGCACAUUGCGCCCGCCAGUAUUCUGGCGGGCAUGCCUGUUCGAGCGUCAUUUCAACCCUCAGGCCCCCAGUGCCUGGUGUUGGGGAUCGGCCCAGCCUUCCUGUAAGGCCGCCGGCCCCGAAAUCUAGUGGCGGUCUCGCUGUAGUCCUCCUCUGCGUAGUAGCACAACCUCGCAGUUGGAACGCGGCGGUGGCCAUGCCGUAAAACACCCCACUUCUGAAAGUUGACCUCGGAUCAGGUAGGAAUACCCGCUGAACUUAAGCAUAUCAAUAAGCGGAGGA
rnacentral:misc_RNA from 1 species